AGCUGAGCUCGCGUCUGAUUAGCUAGUUGGUGAGGUAAGAGCUNACCAAGGCNUCGAUCAGUAGCUGGUCUGAGAGGAUGACCAGCCACACUGGGACUGAGACACGGCCCAGACUCCUACGGGAGGCAGCAGUGGGGAAUUUUCCGCAAUGGGCGAAAGCCUGACGGAGCAAUACCGCGUGAGGGANGAAGGCUCUUGGGUUGUAAACCUCUUUUNUCAGGGAAGAACACAAUGACGGUACCUGANGAAUCAGCCUCGGCUAACUCCGUGCCAGCAGCCGCGGUAAUACGGAGGAGGCAAGCGUUAUCCGGAAUUAUUGGGCGUAAAGCGUCCGCAGGUGGCUU
rnacentral:rRNA from 1 species